ACGAACGCUGGCGGCGUGCCUCAAACAUGCAAGUCGAGCGGGGUUCUGGAAGUGGGCGACCACGGAAGGGACCUAGCGGCGGACGGGUGAGUAACGCGUGGGUAAUCUGCCCAAGGGACCGGGAUAACACCUCGAAAGGGGUGCUAAUACCGGGUGACCCUGGUGCUCCGAGUGGGGGACCAGGGAUAGGUGGCCUCUUGACAAUGCUACUGCCCUUGGAUGAGCCCGCGUCCCAUUAGCUAGUUGGCGGGGUAAAGGCCCACCAAGGCGACGAUGGGGUAGCCG
rnacentral:rRNA from 1 species